UUUGUAAAUUUGUAGUUGUGGGCUAUCCAAUACCUUAUUUCCUUGUAUUUGUGAUUUGUUUCGCCUGAUUGUAUCAGGAAAUCGAGGAAAGGCCUAUUAAUAUGGAUGUACGUAUAUAAAAAAAAUCAUGGAGGCUUACUGCCUCGGUUCCUCCAUUCGGUAGAAACGAUAUGUGCCUGCUGCGUUGGAAAAGCAACAUACAUAUGGUACUGUGAGGAUGAAACUCAUCUGUACCCUAGUGCUUCCUUGAACUGGGAAUUCUUCUCCCGUUAUAUUUAGCGUUUAUUUUUCCAAAAUAAUUAUCAAGAGUGGCCAUUGUUUUCCAGAAUUAUUAUUAUUUUUUUUUU